rnacentral:lncRNA from 1 species
GUCCCCUUGGUCCGCACGGGCGAGCUUUUUCUCUCCCAUUGUCGGCCAAGGUGAGUCUCCACCGUUCCUCCCUCGAUCUUGAGUGUUUCCUCUAGAUCUUUCAUGGUUUUAACAAGGUUUCAUCUUGCUUUGAAGUUUUUGAGCUUUUGAAUCGAGUUUUGAGCAAGUUUUGAGCUUGGAGGCCUAAGGAGCUAGAUUUCUCCCAAACUCCAAGUUAGAUCGCCUCUAUUCUCGAUCUUCAAGAGGUAAGAGUCGAUCUUGAACUCUUGUAAUGUUUUAAAUAAGUUUCAUGCAAGAUUCAUGGGAUUAAAGGCAUGUUUAGUUCAUGUGUAGGUUUAUGGGUUUAUGUUGUGAUUUUGAGCAAUGUAGCUUGAUUGUGUAUGAAUGAAGUGUUGUAGAUGGGGUAUAUGCAUGUUUGAGGCCCCUAGGAACGUGUAUGCAUGCUUUGGUUGAGAAAUAUGCAUGAUUUAUGGUUUUGGGAGGCAGGAGGUUCAUUUGAACCAAGUUUCUGCCGUUUGGCAGAAACCAGGUUCGGCAGCCGAAGGGAGUUUCGGCCGCCGAACCCCUCUUGUGGAGGCAGCUUUCGGCUGCCGAAGGUGCCCCCGAAAAGAGACUUUCGUCUCUGUCUGGCACUUUCGGCCGCCGAAGGUGCCGCCGAACCUAGCUGAGUUUCGUCUCUGUCCAGGACUUUCGGCCGCCGAAGGUGCCGCCGAAGGUGCCCUGUUCAGCCAUUUCAUGCAUAUUUUCUGUGAUGUUUUCAUGAUGUUUUAAGGGGUUUUUGGGGGAUAUAUUAGCGUUAUGUUUGUUUAUGUUUGGUCCCUCAUUGGAGUCCACCUGUGUAGGUUCGGACCCGAGGAACCGAGGACCCCAGCAGUGAGUGAGCUGCUUCAGUGUCUGGUCAGAGCUAGCCAGGGGUGAGUGGAAACAAGCUUAAUGUUUUAAAUCAAGCAAUUAAAUGUUUUGAGCAUGUUUCAUGCAUCAUGAUGACAUGUAAUAGGCAGAUUGCAUUAGUUCACGAAUAUGUCGCAUUGCAUUUUAUUUUGUGGUUGUGGGUGAAUGCUGUAUGAUCCAAUUAGUCCACGAGACUUAAUAUAUGAUAUGACAGGAAGACCAGGACCCCAUGCUACGGCCUGGCACGAGACUUAAUAUAUGAUAUGACAGGAAGACCAGGACCCCAUGCUACGGCCUGGCACGAGACUUAAUAUAUGAUAUGACAGGAAGACCAGGACCCCAUGCUACGGCCUGGCACGAGACUAUAUUGAGACUAAUUGGUGACAGAUUCACCCUUGAUGUGAAUUGUCUGUGAUAUGAUGCAUUUCAUGAAAGCAUGAACUUUGAUAUAAUGUUUUUUUUAGUUUCUGCUCACUGGGCUUUUAGCUCACCCCUCUCCCCUAACCCCCAGGUUUGCAGGUACGGGAUUGAUAGAGAAGAAAAGAAGAGAAAAGUCAUAUGUAUGUAAUAGCUAGAGUAUGUGGACAUGACAAAUGAUAAGAAUGUAAUGUAAAGUUUUGAACAGUUAUGUUUAUGUAACUNNNNNNNNNNNNNNNNNNNNNNNNNNNNNNNNNNNNNNNNNNNNNNNNNNNNNNNNNNNNNNNNNNNNNNNNNNNNNNNNNNNNNNNNNNNNNNNNNNNNNNNNNNNNNNNNNNNNNNNNNNNNNNNNNNNNNNNNNNNNNNNNNNNNNNNNNNNNNNNNNNNNNNNNNNNNNNNNNNNNNNNNNNNNNNNNNNNNNNNNNNNNNNNNNNNNNNNNNNNNNNNNNNNNNNNNNNNNNNNNNNNNNNNNNNNNNNNNNNNNNNNNNNNNNNNNNNNNNNNNNNNNNNNNNNNNNNNNNNNNNNNNNNNNNNNNNNNNNNNNNNNNNNNNNNNNNNNNNNNNNNNNNNNNNNNNNNNNNNNNNNNNNNNNNNNNNNNNNNNNNNNNNNNNNNNNNNNNNNNNNNNNNNNNNNNNNNNNNNNNNNNNNNNNNNNNNNNNNNNNNNNNNNNNNNNNNNNNNNNNNNNNNNNNNNNNNNNNNNNNNNNNNNNNNNNNNNNNNNNNNNNNNNNNNNNNNNNNNNNNNNNNNNNNNNNNNNNNNNNNNNNNNNNNNNNNNNNNNNNNNNNNNNNNNNNNNNNNNNNNNNNNNNNNNNNNNNNNNNNNNNNNNNNNNNNNNNNNNNNNNNNNNNNNNNNNNNNNNNNNNNNNNNNNNNNNNNNNNNNNNNNNNNNNNNNNNNNNNNNNNNNNNNNNNNNNNNNNNNNNNNNNNNNNNNNNNNNNNNNNNNNNNNNNNNNNNNNNNNNNNNNNNNNNNNNNNNNNNNNNNNNNNNNNNNNNNNNNNNNNNNNNNNNNNNNNNNNNNNNNNNNNNNNNNNNNNNNNNNNNNNNNNNNNNNNNNNNNNNNNNNNNNNNNNNNNNNNNNNNNNNNNNNNNNNNNNNNNNNNNNNNNNNNNNNNNNNNNNNNNNNNNNNNNNNNNNNNNNNNNNNNNNNNNNNNNNNNNNNNNNNNNNNNNNNNNNNNNNNNNNNNNNNNNNNNNNNNNNNNNNNNNNNNNNNNNNNNNNNNNNNNNNNNNNNNNNNNNNNNNNNNNNNNNNNNNNNNNNNNNNNNNNNNNNNNNNNNNNNNNNNNNNNNNNNNNNNNNNNNNNNNNNNNNNNNNNNNNNNNNNNNNNNNNNNNNNNNNNNNNNNNNNNNNNNNNNNNNNNACAUCUCAAAACAUCCAUGCAAGAACAUGCAAAGGAAGGCUGGACAGGGCACUUUCGGCGGCAGGUUCGGCGGCCGAAAGUCCCUCCAGAGCCGAAAGUCAGGCAGGUUCGGCAGCACCUUCGACGGCCGAAACUCCCAGACAGAGACGAAAGUCUCCUUUCGGGGGUAAGCUUCGGCAGCCGAAGGCUGCUUCCACAAGAGGGUUCGGCGGCCGAAAGUCCUUUCGGCUGCCGAACCUGGUUUCUUCCAAAGGGCAGAAACUUGGUUCAAACAUGCACAAAUGCCUCCAAACUCAUACCAUCAUGCAUUUAGCUCAACCAAAACAUGCAUACAAGCUCCUAGGGGUCUCAAACUACCUUAAACCCCAACUACAACACAUCAAACAUACAUUUACAAGCCUCAUUGCUCAAAAACUCAUCAAAACCCAUAAACUCAACAUAUGCUUUCUCAUGCAUUUUCUACCCCAUGAACUUGCAUAAAACUUGCUUAAAACAUAAUGUAAGCUAGAGAUCGACUCUUACCUCUUGAAGAUCGAGAGUAGAGGCGAUCUAAAUUGGAGUUGGGAGAGAUUUAGCUCCUUGGGUCUCCAAGUUCAAAACUUGCUCAAAACUUGAAAAUCUUCAAAAGAAAGUAAAAACUUGUGAAAAUCUUGGAAGAUCUGGAGGAAAAGACUCAAGAUUGAUGAGGGACGGCGGAGAACUCACCUUGGCCGACAAUGGGGAGAAAAGCUCGCCCGUUUUCGGCUAAGGGACCCUUUUAUAGUGGCUGGCCAGGCCACAUUCGGGGGCCGAACGUGCCUCCGCAUGCAUGCCAUGUUCGGCAGCCGAACUUGAGGUUCGGCGGCCGAACCUGAGCUUCCCUCACUUAUGCCUUCAGGGGCCUAAGGCACACCCGAAAUGCAGGCAUGUUCGGCGGCCGAACUUGAGAUUCGGCGGCCGAACCUGGGUUUUCCUCCAAGAUUGAUUUCAUGCAAAAACUCAUUUCAUUUUUACUUAAAACCAUGGAAUACAUUAAAACAUUUUAUGAAAACAUGUUUCUACCCUACUAGAGGCUUCCGACAUCCGAGAUUCCACCGGACGGUAGGAAUUCCGAUACCGGAGUUUAGCCGGGUAUUACACUAAUCUAAUAUUUUUUCUAUUUAUCAUGAUAUACCAUUUCUCAUUUUUCUUUUAAUUUUUAUUUCUAUCCAACAACUUUCUUCCAACCCUAAUUUAACUAAUUUACAAUGUUUAAUAUAGUAUUCCUUAUUUAGACUAAUAAUUAUUUUUUUUAUUAUUACUAUAUCUUAGCCAAAUUACAUCCCUAUCAAAGAAAGUAGAGACAUUCCACUUGCUCCAUAACUUGAGUUUUACUCAAAUUAUAUAUUAAUUUCAAAAUUUUCUAUUUAUUAAAUUUAUCAUUUCUUCAAACUUUAAUCAUACUAUAUAACUAAAAUAUUAUUCACUUGAUCUAGUUCUAUUAAGGUAGUAAAAUUUUCAAAUAAACCUAAUUAACAAAUUAUUGAAUUUAUUCAAAUAAAGUUGAUCACAGACCUUAAAUCUUCCAUAAGCUUAAAGUUUUCUAAUCUUCCUUUCCUUUCCCUUUAGAGUUUCCACUCUUUCCUUCCACUUCUUCUUCAUGAAAAAAAUAAACAAAUAAAUCAUAUUAAUGCAAUAUUCUUCAUAAAUAUUCACAUAAAAAUGAUAAGAAAUAUUCUUACAUUAAAACCCCUAAAAUACCUUUAAAUUUUUCAACACUUUGUUAUUAUUCAUUUUCCCUCAACCUUGAAUUUUCUCUUUAAUUUCUCUUAUUUUCUUCAAAUUCUACUUUGAAAAGUUGUUGGGAGAAAAUGGGUAAUUGAUUGGAUGCGGAAAUUUGAAGAAAUUUGGUGUAGAAAAAAAAAGAUAGAGAAUGGAAAUUUUUUUUUUUUGUUCACACCAGAGGAAGGAGAAUUGAAGAAGAGGGGUUCUUUUUCUUCUUUUCUAGUCUUUUUUUCUUCUUUUUUUCUUUUUUUUUUUUUAAAUUACUUAGUUAAGUGGCUAGCAAGGUGUCACUUGUCUUUAAAUUAAAAUUUAUUUUAUUAUUUUUUUUCUCUCUUUUUUUUUUCCUUUCUUUUUUUAUUCUUAUUCUUUUUUUAUUUAUUAUUUAUUUUAUUUUAUUUUUGGAAUGUUACAUCAUUUAAGUGUACGCCUCAUCUAGAUCAUCAGGUCUAUACCUCGUCUAGAUCAUCAGGUCUAUACCUCGUCUAGAUCAUCAAAUCUAGAUCGAUAAGUAUACACCUCGUCCAGGUUCACUAUGUAACACUCCCUACCCGAUUAUUUAAUUAACCGAGCACAUUUUAUAACUGUUCUCUUAGUUUUACUUUAAUUUAUAUCAUGUAAUUCAUCAAGUUCAAGUGUACACCUUAUUCAAGUGUACAUCUCAUCCAAAUCGUUGGGCCUACACCAUCAUCCACCAGGUCAGUCAUCCAAAUCGUAAGUGUACACUUCAUCCAGAUCCUCAGAUCUACACCUCAUCUGAUCAUCCAUACCUCAUCUAUCGGCAUGUCCAUGUCCUAAUUGUUGUCCACAUCUUUACACCUCGUCUCAAAUACAUAAACUAUUUCAAAUGUGAAAUUUGAAAUAACUAAAAAAAAAAUUCAAAAUCCUAGAUAAGGAUCGUCUCUUUCUAAGAUUCAGGGUCAGUCAAUAAUUAACACCACCGCUUUCGAACUUCACUUCAGCACCAGCAACCUAAGACCCAAGUGCAACAACUUUUCUUAAUCACUUGGACAUUUCUCUCGACCUUGCCCUCAAUCCAUUUCUAUUCUCUUUUUCGAUUGUCUUAACCCAACCUCCAAUUCCCCUUUGUCGAGAGGUUGGGUUAGUUUUUCUCCAUGUAAUUAAGCAAAUUAAAUUUAAAUUUAAACAUGUUAUGUCCAUAAAAUUGUCACUAAACUGAAAUUUGUGAUUCAUUUUUAUGAGUUGUAAGCAAAAUCGUAAAUCACCAUUCUUUUAUAUAAUUUGAACCUUAUGUUUAGCAAGUUGUACCGUGUAAAUAAGUUAGAUGGAUUCAAGAAAGGCUUGCCUAAGUAAUUUGGAUGAGAAUAGGGUUGGUGAUUAAAGCAGUAUUUUGUAACAAAAGAUUACCAAGGGCUAGUUUUAGCUGUGAUGAUGGAUAUGGGUUAUGAAUUAUGGAAAAUAACCAAACUCGUCGAUUCUCAACCAAAACUACGGAUGAUGGACAUGAGGAUGGCCCAGAGGAAAGUAAGUUUGUGGGCGUGUGCCUUGAGAAGAAAAUCAAAUGAAAUAAAAUGACAUUGCAAUGUAUAAUUACAAUGAGUUAUUGAAUGAAUUUUCUUUUUUAAAAAGGAGCCAACAACUCCCAUUUAACUCAUAUAAUAAAUAAACAAACAAACAAACAAAAAAUUAGAAGAGUUGCCUCUAUCCAUUAUGUUAUCAAAGGGAAAAAAAUAAUAAUUAUUAUAUAUUACUAUAUUAUUAUCCGCCACAACCAAUUGCUUUUGCUUUGCUUCUCGAUCAACCUCCCAGGAAGUUUCCUACUUGUUAAUAACUGGGAUACAAACCACACGUGCGAUUGUGCAUGCACAGCUGUGAGUCACGUGUCUUAAUUCUGCGACUUAUUGAGCUUCUUGGAGAUGACAUCAUUCCAGAUCUCAGUGAAUGCUUGAAUGAUGAGGCCAUGGUGGUAAGGAGAAUUCAGCUCUAAGAAGCAAUUCAGAAGCUCCUGAAGAUCAUCUUUGGAGUAGAUUUCUUUCUCAAAUAUCAUUUGCAACAUGGAAUGCCUGAAAUCUUGAUAUGGAUCAUUAGAAUCCUUCACCACAGCAAUGCUGUUGAUGAUUUUGGAAUCUUUUGGAUCGUUUUCAUCAGAGACGGACGUUGUUAUAGUGGAAGUGCAGCUUUCUUCAUUGCCUCCGCUUUUGUGACGAGUGCUUGAAGAAGAAAUACAAGUGGGAGGAUCCGUCUGAUGAGAAACGGCUGAUCUGGGCACUGCACUAGGCUCAUGUACAUCUGAAGGUUUUGACCUGCGACAGCCGCAGCCUGAAUUUGCUGCUGUGAGCACUGUUUUACUAAGAAACUUUUUCUUGGUGGAGGGCAUUGCAGAGGGGGCGGUUGGGGGGAGAGUAUAAUUUAGAGAGAGAGAGAACAAUAAUAUCAUAUAAAAUAGAUUUGUGGAACAUAAAGAAGGCUUUAUUGGUAGGAGUCGUUGUGAGGAUUCAGUCGUGGAAUGAGAGAUGGUGUAUUUGGGUGGGAGACAUUUUCUACAUAAUUGCUGAGGAAGACAGGUCUUUAAGGCAUUUGACUUAACGUAGGGGUUAGAGAGAUUGAUCAUUUUCACGAUAAACCUUAUCUCUUACCUAAUCUGAAACUUCCCAGAACACAUUACCCUAAUCUAAUAUGAUUUCGAGCCUUCGCACCUUAUUAUUGGAAAAUGAAUUUAGUACGUAAUUAUUGAAUAGUGUGUUAUUAUAUACCCUAAUCUAAUAAUAAAUAUGAAAAGCUAAAUAUAAAUAUUCGAUUCAAAAAUUAUUAUUUUUAUAUAAAUUAAGUAGAGUAUUUUUUUCUUUAAAAAAAAGAAAAAAGAAAAAAACAAUGUAUAAAGUAGAGUUAAUAAUAAUUAUAGCUUCAUUGAGCAUCAUGGUUUACCAAAAAGAAAUAAUUAACAGAAGGUUUUAGGAUUUAAUUGUGGCAAUAAUAUAAUUAAGUGGAUUUGAUGUCUUGUAAUGCAGACAAAUGUUUUCUUAAGAUAUCUUUAUAAUUUCUAACUAUAAACUAAUAAUUAGUAGCAUUUUGUGUUAAUUGAUACCUUAAUCAAUAUAUUCUCUAUUGUGAUUACUGAUUAUUAAUUAAUUUGAAGGAUUAUUAAAAGAAAUUUAAAAAUAAUAAUAAAUCCGUGGGUUCUACUUUUCCUAAGACAUAUAAUUGAAAAUAAAUACAUAAUAAGUUUUAAAAUUUGUUGCAUGCCAAGACAUGAACUCAUCUAUCUAUCCAUUACUACAAUUCCUACUGAAUUUUGAAAUUAAAAUCUCACAAUUUAUCAAUACUUGUAUACCAAUAUUAUAGGAAAAUAGGAAGAUUUUGUAAUUGAAUUUAAAAUUUAAGCGGAUAAAAUUUUAUUAUUUAAAAUUAAAAAGUUUGAAUUUUAGAUAUACAUAAACACUAAAAAUAAUUUUUUAAGAUAAAAUUAUUUAAAUAACGCAAAAUGAUAAUUUGAUAAUAAGUGGUUUUUUGAAUUAUUGACAAAUAUAUUUAAAUUCUAAAUUAAAGAUUAGGAAAAUGAAUAUAAAUAACUUGAUGAUAUUAAAUUAUUUGAUAAUAUGUUCUUGAUUAUAUUUAUAUUUUAAAGUAUAUUUGAAUUUUGGAAUAUAUAUUAAUAAAAAAAUAAGUAAAUGGAGAUCAGAUUAUUAAAAUAAAAUUAAAAAAAAAAUUAAUCGUAGGAUAAUUAAUGAUAAUAUGAUUCAGUCAUUUGAUAAUGACAAUUCAACUUUUAGUAUUAAUAUUAAAUAUUAAAAUAAUUAUUAUAAUAUCAAUUAUUAAAUAAGAUAUUUAAAUUUAUAAGAUAAUAAAAUAAAUAUCAAUGUGAGCGUUAUAUAAUAUUAUUUAAAUUUAAUAAAUAAAUAUUUAAACUAUGGACAUACAUCAAAAAUAAAAAAAAAUAAAAUUAUAAAUUAUAUAUAUUGCUCAGGAAAAACCAAAAUAUUGAGGUAAGAUUAUUAAAAUAAUAAAAUAGAGUAAUUAUAGAGAGUAAUAUAAAAUAACUCAAAUUCAUAAGACAAAAAUUAUAAAUUAAUUAUAAUUUAUGUGUUCCUAAUUAAUAUGGUUAGGAUUUAGCUAUCCGUGUCUUAAGAUUCCCACAAAUACAAUAGAUAACGCUACCCCAUUUACUAUUUUUAUUUUUUAAGCAUUUAAAAUAAUAUAACAUAUGUUACAACAAUGAAACUCAAAAUUAUAAUUUUACAAUUAAAACUAUGAGUAUUUCAAUUUUUUUUUCUCCUUGCAUUAUUUUUAAUUAAUUAAUUUUUGUGUUGUUAUAAAUGUUUAAUUAUUAUCUUUUUACUUCUAUAUAUUUAUAAAGGAAUUUUAUUAGAAAUCUAUGUUUAUAAUAGUUGGGUAUUUUAAAGAUUAAAUUUUAAUUAGCUAUUAAAAUUAAUACAAUUUUACAUCUUGUAUAAAAAGUAAAGAAAAGCGAGAAUUAAAAAUAAGUGAGCCAAUUACCGGUAUUUCAUUUUAUUUGAUCCACCGCAACUCAUAUCCUCUUCCAUUGGCAAGGCAAGUGAAAGGUUAUCCUCUUCUUCAAGGUGUCGCUGUGAUAAAGUUGCUAUAUACUUGGCCUCUCAGGGGACCAUAGGUUUCACAACUGACUCGUGAAAGCGCAAAUGACCGAAAUGUCCUCGUCCGACUAAUUCAAGUUCUUAUCUGCACCACCCAUCUUAGUCUUCCCAUUAGGGAAGUUUUGGCAUACAAGCUCCCCCCGUUUCUCCUUUUUCAUUUUCUCUAUUUUGUUUAGCAGAUAUUAAAAUCCAACAGUUUCAUGUUCUGGAGAUAGAUUGAUUGAUAGAUAGAUUGAGAACCUUUUUCCCUGGCUGGAGCUUACUAAUAGCGAUGGCCAUAGUUAUGCAAGCCUCUCCUCUUUUUUCUGCUACUUCUCUCAUCAGUAGGAGAAACUUCAACGAUUACUAUUUUGGCUCCGUUCAACCUCCCAAAUCCAGUUUUAAGCACUUUAUCCCCAAAGCCAUAAAACAGACAAGAGAAGAAACAAAUAUCCCAUCUCCUUCACCUGAGGAAAUUACCCAAAAAUAUGGUCUCGAAGCUGGUCUUUGGAAGGUACCCAAUUAUCCAAAUCUCUGCUUCGCUCCUUCUUCUUCUUCUUUUCCUCUUGCACUUGCUUAAUGUCAAUUUUUCUACUGGUUCAUCCGUAUGUGUUUGCUACUGGGAAUUUUUAAGCGACACGGUUAGUGAUUAUUAGAAUAAUUAUCCCUGAAAUUCGAUGUUUAGUCGAUUAUAUUUAAUUGCUUUUGAGAAACUGAUAUCUCAUGUAUAUAACUAUUUUCACAUGUGCAUGAUGAUGAAGAUAUUCAGUUCAAAAGAGGGGAGAAGGGAAGAUGAUGGCGAGGAAAAGAAAUCAAAGGGAGAGCAAGCUAAGGAGCUUCUAGCAAAAUAUGGAGGAGCAUACCUGGCCACCUCCAUUACACUGUCCUUGAUCUCCUUCUCUCUCUGUUAUGCACUCAUUAGUGCAGGAGUCGAUGUCCAAGCUUUGCUGCAGAAGGUGAGAUCAAGCAAUCAAAUUUCAUAUGAAGCCAGCUUUUACUACUUUUUAAGUCCUACAUACAACGACUGAUUGAGCUUGCAAAUUUUCAGGUGGGAAUUUCUACUGAUGAGACAGGGGAAAAGGUUGGGACCUUUGCUUUGGCAUAUGCUGCACACAAGGCUGCAUCUCCAAUAAGGUUUCCCCCUACUGUAGCUCUCACUCCCAUUGUUGCCAGUUGGAUUGGCAAGAAAGUAGAUAACGAGAAGUAACUCAUAUGUGAAUUGUGCGCGUUAUGUUCUUGUUCUACAUGAUCUCGAGUCUCAGAAUUUCAUUUUAGAACUCUCUGAAAUGAACCCAGCUAAUAUAUAAGACCACAGAUACUUGGCAUUGAUGUCUCACAGACAACUAAGGUUAGCAUUUUGAAUCAAUCCAAGUGAUCUAGGUGAUUGCAGUCACUUUUCCAUAUAAUUUUCAUACUAUCAAGUCAUCCUCGCUUUUCAUUUGUGCUCGUGUUGAGUGGUUUAAAAAUAACAUUGUAAAGAGGAAGAGGGGUGGGUUCAAGAUCCUAAACAAAUUCAUUUCCACUUCUAGUCAGAUAAAAUUUUUCCCAGUCACAUAAUAUCUUACAUGUUGGCAAGCUAUCGAAUUCAAGAAAACCAAAGUUAGAGCAAUGUACAAGAAUGAAUUCAAGAAGAAAAAAAACAUUAGUGACUUUAUUUCCGUCAGGAUUACAUGGAUUGCAAUAUUACAAUGUGCUGUACAAUGCAAGAGCUAUUUCCUAUUCUUUGGUUCCUCAGUAUGACUUCAAGAACAUUAUGAUCCAAAUCCAAGGAACCACUCAUCCAAGCCCCCCAUAGCAGUUGCAAGGCUGAAGGGAGAUGCAUUAGAUGCAGGCAUCACCUGUUUUCCAACCAAAAACAAGCUCCUGUAUCUUUGAUGUCUUUAUUUCAACCUGCAGUAGUAUUAGCACCAGAAGGCACUUCUGUUGGAUUUGAUGGUGGAGUCUGGGGUCGAGGUAUGCUGAUAUUUGCCAUGCUAUAGUCAUCAUGAAGUGUACCAAAUUCACUCCACUCAACCCCAGCUUUAGCGAGUUAGGGAAUUAAGAAUACAAAGCUCAAUCUAUAUUAGGCAAACAGAAUGCAAUACUUUAAGAAGGAUACGUUCAGUGCGCCACAUGUCUGUGAUGCUAACACCAGCAUCUGAUAAAAGCCAGUAAUCCGCAUCACUCUGCCAACAAGCAAAUAUACAAAAUUAUAAAUAUAUGCAAAAUGUGAAAAAUAGUUCAUUUCUUGCAUACAUAAAAGCAAUAAAACCAAAAGGAAGACAUACAUCUACAUCUGUGGGAACAAUCUUCAUGAUCCCACUCACAAAGUCCUGUGAGGUGUUGAGAUCUGAGCACAUUCUAUGAUCGUCUUGUCCCAGCAUUUCAAUCUCCUUUUCCCUGCUCUCCCCAGGGACCAUCGUAGUCGCUAGAUUUUCAUUAAAGCCUGAAGUUGAUGGAUAACUUUUGGGUGGCUCAACACCAUGAAUCUCCUCAAAUUUCUCUUCAAAUUGACUAAGAUAACAGGGCAUGAGGGAGAGCUAUCAGGACAGUUCAUUAGAAGUCAAAAAAUUCAAUGGCAACUAAUCCACUAAAGUGAAGGUUGUGUCUCACUAAGAAUGGCGACAGUAGGUAUACACAAAAAUCACCCUACCCAGCCUGAUUAAUAUUUUCAAUACUUAAACCCAUACUAAACCAACUUAAAAUUUAUCUUAAACUAUCUCAAUCCAUCCUAAACUCGAGUAUUAUAACUCGAAGAAUACCAACACCCUUUUAGUUUCAUAUCUUUUAAUCUCUACAAAAUAUAUCUUUCAUUAAUAAACUUUAUUUAAAAAUUAGAUAUAGAAAAGAUGUAUAUGUUAUUAUAAAGAAUACAUUAUACAUUAUAUAAACAGGUUUGGAUAAUGGGCAUCUAAUAUAUAAAAUCCAAAUUCAACCUGAACCUGUCAUGGAUACUAAUUUCUAAACUCAAACCCUUCCCAAAUCCAAUUAUAUACUGCCUAAACUCGUCCUAAUGGGUCAGUUGGAUGAGAUACCAGAAAAUACCCAACCAUUGCCAUUCUUACUCACCAGCCAUAUAAAACAUAUUAGAAGCAACAGUACCUGACAAGAUAAACAUCUAUGGGACCCAUUGUACUUCUAAGCACGAUCCUGUAUCUUCUCUGGGGAUAGUCAACAGCCUGCUGCAGAAGAGGAGGCCCACAAUGAGCAAGAAUGCACAAAUAAAUUUUGCACUUUUUCCUCGAUGGACUGCUUAUGGGAUUACCUCAUCGGGAUCUGGGACUUCCAAAGUAGUGCCAUGAGGAGCUUUAAUUGCUAUUAAGGUUUCAUUCUGUUAAAGGCAAGAAAUUAGAUGUUCGGCUAGUAACAAGAUGAAAAAAUGUAUUAGAAGUCCAGGGACAGACCAAGAACCAAGUAUAAAACCUCAAGUAAUAAUGAAGCAAAGAGAAGAACAAACCUGAAAGCAGGGUAAGCUCUUGAUAUCUUCCUCAGUGACAAAAAGCCACCUAAAAUGGUGAAACACAAAUUGGCAAAAUUUCAUCAGUUAAAAUAAUAAUGUUGUGUAAAAGACUGUAAUUUAAUGCAAACGUUGGCAGAAAAAUUUACUUCUGGUUAGUUUCUUCUUCACUGAGGUCCCUUAAUCUUUCUUGCACUUCUCUGCAAUAAAUUUGAAAAUCAGCACAAACCAAAAGAUGCAAAUUAGCAACUUGUGGGAGUUGCAUGUACACAGGGGAAAAACACAUAACCUUAUUCGAUCAUCUAAUCUGUGUUCCUCAAUGUUAAGGUUUUCAACUUCUGCCUGCAAGGGAGAAAAACCCAUCAAGAAAUAAAGCUAAAACCUAUAUCUUAGGAAGGCUUUUGUCAUUCCAAGUUCUGUCCAGUGCAAGAAUUUGUUAUUCAAAGUGAUACUAAUUAAUUCAAUGAAACUAAAAUCUUCAAUAAUAUCCAUUCAGCAGAUCUGGAUAUUUCUAAUUCAAACUUAUUCAUUGUAAUCGCAACAUUGCCAAUGCUGGAAAGCACCCCUUAAUAAAUCUAAAUUAGGGGCACUUCUCUGCGGCUAACUAUCAAAUACUUAUAAUUAGUUUUCCAAUAAGAAAGCAUGUUACUUCCAGAUGGCACCAAAAAUACCGUCAAAGUAGUUCUUAAAACAUUUCAGUCAUUGAAAAAUAAAAACAAAAGACAUACCAAAAUAGAACAAAGAAACAUCCUAUGUCAAAAAGAAGAGAACCUGUGCUAAUCCAAAAGUACAAGUCAAGAAGCAAACUGUCAAAUAAUGCAUACCUGCAAACUAGAGACAUUCUCAUCUGCUUCCCCUGGCCUUGAGACAUCGAGUCCCCUGACAUCAAUAAAAUAUUCAAUGACUUAUAAAAUGCAACAUUAUUGAUAACUACUCAAGAACCAACACCAUUCUAGACACUAAAUGACAUCAAAUGGGGAAAAUAAUGGGAAAAGGAAAAGGAGAAAGCGAUAUGUACAUACUUCCACUGUAUUCUAUUCUUGAGCUUCUUUUCUAUCAGACCAAUUCCUUCUAGGACAUUUGUUAUGUCAUAUAUCCUCCGCUUUUGCACCUGUAGUCAUAGAAACCUCUCGAAUGAACUUUAUAUUGCAAAAUUGAUUAGAUGGGAAUAAUUAACUGUCACCUCCAAAGUGUCUGCGGCUUUGUUAAGAUCUAGAAUACCAUCUUCAGCAUGUUUGAUCAGAUUGAUGAACUUUUUUGUCAAGAGACCUGAAGGCACAAUCACAUAAUAUUUUACUGUUUCCAAGAUAGACUCUCUACUCAAAAAGCCAUUUGAGAUAGUGCCCCCUAAUGAUGCCAACAACUUGGCUUCAAUAUAAGAUCACAAAUGCAUGAAAGAAAUAGAGUUUACCUAGGGAACUGUCAUAACGACAGGGACCAGUCAGGGUAAGAUUACUUCCAGGAGAACCUGUCAAUUAAAAAAAAUAUAUUCUUCUCAUUAUUUUUUCAUUUUCAUUUUCCUUUUCUUUAACAUUUUUGGUGCGAGAAGAGGAGAGAAUCUUUCCAGAAUCAGAAAGAAAUCCAAAAUACGGCUCAAUUGUUAGUCCAUACUGACCCGACCAUUAGAAGAGCCAAUAUUCCAGAGAAAAUUUAUUAUAUAAUGCUCACCAAGAUGUGAAGCAGCAUUCUGGGGUCCAGAUUUACUGCUCUUUGAAAGCCUAGAUGUUUUGGGUGCCUUUCCACCUUUUCCAGAUACGGGUGUCUGGAGGGGGCUGUUGACUACUUCUGUGAAGCCAGUACUAGUGUUCCACUCACUGGAUUCAGCUUCAUGAUCUGCUGCAUCACUCUUCCGCUUAAAUGGCUGAUACACACCAUUUAAUUUUUUUUCUAAACCACAAUUAGUUACAUAUGCACUGUAUAAAUAAGAUUUUUAAAAAGAAGAAAAAGAAAAAGAAGAUAACAAAUUAGAAGUUAGAACUCCAGUCAAGCUUUAGAACAACAAUUUACAUGUUCACCAACUUCAAUUGAGUGUUCAUGCAUAUACACCUGGCAACAUAAAGGUGCUAACCUACGCAACUUUUUUCCAUUUUUUGUGGUUGUCUUGUGUAUGCUGUGGGGUGGGGUGGGGAUGAGGGAGGGAAGGGGAAAAGUACUCUGAAAUGAGAACUUAUUAUUACAAUAAGUUAUCAGCAGAUCUAUGAAAAAGGACACAAAGUUAUCCGCAUGUGCUAGCCGGGAUAUCCAUUGAAAAAAAUAGAAGUCAAGUUAAAUUCGUACAGUUAUUAAGGCAGUGUAGAAAUCCUGAUACAAUGAUACCAACUUUCAAGUUUCAAAAAAGGAAACCAUCCAACCAAGCAUAUGCCUGGAGCUAUUUUUCUUGAUAAUAACAUCAUAAUUACCAUCUCUUUCCUUUUUCCUUGUAAAACAAAUCUUUUAAAUGAUUGGAAAAAAGACCUAGUACAACCGAAUAACAACACUGCCAUACAAUUAAAACCUGGAGAUGUUGCCUAUAGAUAUAUCUUUUAUGCCCGCUCGUUAUAGAUCCUGUAUCUUACCAAGUACCAGUGAUUGGUUUGACCUGAAAUAAUUUUGCUUACAGAAGAAUCACAGUAACUAGUAAUUACUAGGAGCACUACAACCACUUCUGUCCUAAAUGUGAAAUUUUAACAGUGCAAAGCAGUCAGUUGAGGCAAUCCAAAGUUUUCUCCCAUCAAAGUGGUUUGAGCACAGUACAUCUGCCGGUAACAACCCUUGUAAGACAUUCAGAAACAGAGACUACACUAAAUCAUCUUAUGCUCUCAACAAUGCAGAACAGGUAAAUUCCUGACUUUUUGCUUCCCACUGAGGAAUGCACAGACAUCUCUUAUACAACUUUUGAGAGCUGACCCUGAUGCCCAACCUUACCUCAGUAAACAAGAACAACUUAAAGGAAGAAAAACAAAAGUGCCACGUCAUAUCCCACAUCAAAUAGUUAUAUAAAUAUACACAGGCCUAUCUAGAGGAAUAAUUGUGAAAGCCUUAUUUUGGUCUAUUUGAUUAAUUACCAGUUUUCCGCCAAAACUUGAACCAAAGUUAUCUAAGAUCUUAUACCAAAUUGAACCAAUUAAAUCAGUGGUUUUUCGGUUAACACCACUCCAAGUACCACUCCACUAGUGUAUCUUAUCAAUCUAAGCAGUGAACCAAAAAUAAAAUUUUUCUCCCUCUGGCCACCUCUCCCUCCCCCUUCCCUCACUUAACUCUGUCAUGCAUGGAAAAUGGCAUUUCACUCGAGCGAAACAUGGAUCUCAGAACACUUAAGCACCAAAGAAAAUGAUAUCAAUUUGGAUUUAACAACUAAUCUAAACAAGGACAUCAAAGUGUCCUCUAUUACUCAUGAGUCAUGACCAUACUAUUAGAUGCCAUAAAUUCAAAGUAUCUAAGGAGUAAUUUAGAUGUGGGCAUGUGAGCAUUUAGAGGUGAAAUAGUAAGUGGGGAUAAGGGUUGAACUUAAGACUCAAAUAUUUAAAAUAACAAUAAUAAUAAAGGUUCAUAAAGAUGCCAUAGCCAGAAACAUGAAAAAUGAUUAGGGCUUGGUAUAGUACUCUAAACAUCCUAAUGCAGGCAUGUGGAAUAUAUGGUUAGAGUAAGGGUGCAAAGGUAACUACUAGACAUCCCAAUGCACAUAUGUAGAGAAAGUUUGAGCAUUUACAAUGUGAAUGUCCAUGUGAGCUUGUUUGCUCACCAUGGUACCACAAUUGGGAAACUUAUGUAAGACAAACUUUAUAACUAAAAUCAACAUGGAACAUGAGAUUAGAUUUUGAGUUUCAGUCCAUUGAAAGAUUAGACCUAGUAAAUUUAUGGAUUGUAAGCUUUACCCUUUUGCAUCUUGAAAUAACUUUAUAAUACAAUUUGUUUUGAAAAGUUUCAACUCCUUGUUUAGUUGGGAGGUAACUCAACUCAUGAACUUCAAGUUCAAAAAAGUGCUAAAAUUUUGCUUGAUUGGUUGGUCAUUUUUCUUAACUUUCUAGAAAGUCAAAGUACUAGUCUCCUUUAUUAGUUACUCCCCUAGCACAAUUAAAUUACUUUCCAGCAAGUUCACCUCCCAGGAAGUAGGCAGCAAUUUGAACCAAACAAGGCCUAAGUUUAAUGCUUCUUAGUAGGUGUAAUCAUAUGGGAUGUUUAGUUUUUAACAGGACUCAUAUUCAGUAUCUCAACAUUAUGAUUGGUGUAUAUACAGGACAAUGGUUGCUGAAAGCAGCAUUUAACUUCGCAGAUGGCUAAACUUUAUUGCCAAAGGUAAGGGGUUACAACUACCAAGAGGAACAAACACCCGAAGUUAAGUCAUAAUACACAAAAGGCCGAUCUAGUUUCUUGAAAAGAAAUGCUUUUAUCUUGACUACCCCUGACUAACCUCUUACAUGCAUAAAUAUCUCAAAUUGGAACGAGUAAUUGGGUCAUACAAUUGCAAUUAGCACAGCAGAUUUACUUGCAAAUCAACGACAAUCACAGAAUACAGAUAAUUCAUAAAGUAAAAAAGUUUUAAAAUGAACGCAUAAAUUGAGGUGAAAUGUACCAAUUCAACUAGAAAAAGGCCUCAGUAGCAUAUAAUACGCAAAAAAAUUAUGAAACCCACAGCGAAAAUCUAUUAAAUCACACCAAAAUCAACAAUAAAUAAAUAAGUAAAUAAACUAAAUUCCACUUAAGUUCAACACCAAUCGUUAAUCUCGAGGGAACAAACUGGCAAAAAGUGAUCAAAAGCAUAAACUAAGUAGAUAUCCAGAAAAAUAGAAAAUAGAAAAAUAUUUAUACAAAAGAAAAAGAAACCUUGAAAUGAUAUACUCACAGGAGGUUUAACAACGAUGGCCUCAACAUCAUGAUCGGCAACUCGGCGUGGUUCAGAACUGAACCGAUGAUAGUCACCAGGGGCCGAAAAUGGCGGCUUCAUAGAAGAAAAAGGGAGCUGCCGUUUUAAGGGAUUCUGGGUGACGUUUUGCUGCGGAAGCCUUGUCGAUGAGUUUGGCGGUUGGGAAUUCGACAUCGGGAGAAAAAGGAAACAGAAAAGCAGAAUAAAAGAAGAAAUAUGGAAAUCCUCUUCAAGGGUUUUUGGCGACUUCAGGUAGAAAGAGAGGAACUACAGAAAGAGCUGUCGUGAGAUGUCGCAAGAAAAGGAUUCAUGGAAUUGGAGAAGAAUUGGUUGAGAAUUGAAAGAGAGAUCUGUGAAUUUGGUAUUGGAAAAAAANNNNNAAAAAAAGCGGGAGAGAGAAAGGGAUCAGAAAACGAGGGAAAGAAGGAAGGAGGGAAUUUGGUUCGGAUAUAAGAUGUGGAGGGAAGCUCCUCUAAAAUAAUUGAAAAUAAUGAUAAUAAUAAUAAUAAUCAACCGUUUGAUCGAAGGUUAAAAUUGCAUACAGUUUGGUCUAUUUGAAGUAUCUAUGAUUUUCAUCGCAACUCGAGAUUAAAAUUUUUGAGUUGAUUUGGGCGUAACAUACUAUUUGAUAAAAUAAAUAUAACUAUAACAAUGUAUAUAGAGAGUAUUAUAGAAUAAAGAAAUGAAAAGCCAAUAAUCCAGCCAAUUUUUGGCUUUAUCUAAGAUGAAGGGAAGAAAGAUAUACGUUGUCGAAAAUAAAUAUAAAAAAAAAUAUAAUAUAUUACUCCAUAAGAUUGGUUUUUAAUCUGGUAAUUUUGUUGAAAAAAGUGUGAUAAUUAGCUUCAUUAUCUUGAUCGUGAAAUUAGAGGUAAUGUUUUGUUUUACCUUGAUGACGUGGAGUGAUGAGAUUGGGAAAAUGGAAUCAGACCAGAAUAUAAGGCUGUAGACUAGUGGAGAUCGUGGGAGCUAGAGUGGAAAAUUUUCGUUUUUCUUUUUGUCUAUAAAUUAUCCCGUAAUCAAUAUUUUAAUUCAUAUAUUAAAAAUAUUAAAAGUAAAAUAUCAUAAUGCCAUUCGACAUAAAUUAUCAUUUCUUUUUUUAUAGUAUAAAUACUAUUUUUUCUAAAUUUAUCAUUAUUGAGACUUGUUAUUUAAAUUUUUUUAAGUAAUGGUUAAAUUAAUAAAUAUAAAAGUAUUAAUUAUGAUACGAUUAAAAGGGAAAAAAAUUACCAAAAAUAUUAUAGGAUGUGAUAUUUAGAGGGAAGGGAGGCGCAUAACAAAAAGAAAAGUUUCGAAUCGGCGAUGCGCGCCUUUUGUAGAGUAAAGAGAAAGACGAUUAUUUGCGCGCGUUUCCGGAGAGUUCCACUCACCCCUCACCAACCAAAUCCAUAGACCUUGGGUAGCCAGCCACUUCAUCCACUUGCUCUGGGACUCUUCUCACGUGUCUUGGGCUGGGCUGGGCUGGGCUGGGCUUGUUUCCACCGAUGCAAGGAAAACUACUAUUUAAUUUAUAUGACAUUAAAAAUUUUAUUAAUUAAUUAUUGUAUUUUAAAAAAUAUAUUAAUAUAUUUUAAAAUUUUAAAAGAUAUACUAAAUUAAAAUUUAAUUACUUUUAAUUAUUAAAUAAUGUAUUAAUUUUAAAAUAUUUCAAUACAAAAUUAUUAAAUAAUAAUUUUUUUAAAAAAUAUUUUAAUAUAUUUUUUAAAAUGAAUAUCGAUUAUUAAUAAAUUUUUUAUACUGUUCAAUCUUUAAAAAAAAAUUAAUUAAUAAAAUUUUUAAAAUUUCAUGCAUUUUUAAAAAUUGAAAAAUCAACUCAUUUCUUUGUAUUAUAUGAUAUUUUUUUAAUAAUAUAUGAAAGUAUAAUUUCAUUGUGUAUUCUUAAUAUCAGUCUCAUUAUUAAAAGUUAAAUUAAUAUAAUAUCAUAUAUAAAUAUAAAAAUUUUGUUUUAUUCGUUGAAAAAGUGAUUGGAAUUUCACUUUGAUAUCUAUACAUUUCUAUUUUUUAGAAAUCAUAUUUGUAGAAUUAUUAAAUUAAAAUUAAUUAAUAAUAUAAAAAAAAUAAAUAUAUUACUUUAUACCUUUUAUUUUGAGAUUAUACACAAUAACGAGUCCCCUGGACCAGCUUCAGCUCGGGUGGCUUUGGUUGAGCUGUAGGUCAUGACUCGAUCAGUGAUACAAUAAAGCCACAUGCCACAAAAGGAGGAGUUAGAUUCAAUCAGGCAGUCUCUAAGGCAUGAUCAACGAGGAAGACGGGCGACGAGAAUUAACGGUGCCAACGACGGGAGGAAAAGAGAGAUUAUAAGAUUGAAAAUGUUCAUGAGAAGAAAAUGAAUAGAAUGGAGAUUGGUGAGGAUGUGAGGCUGCUGUAACCGAAUUGAUUUCUUUAUUUUUGGUAAAAGAUAUUAUAGUAUAAUAUAGUAUAAUUUGAAUUGAUUCACUUUAAUUAUUGUUAAUCCCACAAUUGGUUGGGUGGCUUUUUCUGUUAGCAGUAAUGACCUUGCAUAUUUGCUUUUACAGGACAAUUGAAACAACUUCAUGUUUGAAGGCCAACACGGUGGAAAAUUAGAUAUACACUUAACAAUUUUCAUGAGCUGGAUCAUCAAAGUAAUCUCUCUUCAUAGCAAGAGGAAAAGGUCAUAUUGAAACUUGAAAUAUCAUUCCGUUAAAUAUAUUGGAGAUGGAAUAUAUCGAAUUUAACAAUUUUUUUAAAUUUUAAACUAUUUUUGAAAAAUAAGAAAUUAUCUGGUUUUUUUCAUUUUGUGUAGGAGGCAUCUCUUAUUGCUGCCAUUUAGUGAUUUUUUAUGCUUAUUUUGAAUAUUGGUGUUUUUCCAUCGUUACUGAGAGAGUGAAGUCUCUUCCUCCAUACUUUAAGAUAAAGUUAUAAAUACUCUUUUCGUAGAUUUUUUGACAAAUCUAAUGAUUAUUAGAUAAUCAUUUUUUGAAUUUACCUUUCUAAUGUUAUUUUAUUUAUUUUUAAGGUAAUUUAUGUUUUAUGUUAAUUACAUACGUAGAUUUGAGCAUUAUUAAUUUAAUUUCCUUCAUAAACUUACCUUUUUGCCCAUAUACUUGAAUUUUUAGAGAACUAAAUAUUUUGCUUCAUCACAUGUCAAGAUGCUUGUAGUUAGUUUAGUGGUAAUUGAGUUUAUUUUUAAAAAUAGUUGAAGAGUCAUAUUUUCUCUACCGUAUAGUAAUUGGUUCUCAUAUGACUUUUCUACCCUACUUGAUUUGUUUUUGAGCUUUUUAGUACCUUUGAGCUUAAGGUUUUCUGAGUGUGGCUCCCGGAUUUCGGUUCACAUCUUUGUUUGAUUCUGGAGAAGGAUCGUUAACAACGGCAAGUGCUGACCAUUAAUUGCAUUCUAUCUAAGAUUAGACUUGUGUUUUUUUUCGACUUUGGGACUUUUUUGUAAUCUGGAUAGUAGGCUGGACCUCACCUUGUGACUUGGGUCUCUUUUCCAAUAUAAUGGAUGAUGUACCGGCCCGCUAGGCCAUUUUUCCACCAAUACAGCUUCUCCACCUUUUGAAAAAGUAUAUAUAUUUGAACUCCAAUCCCAUUGAACUUGUCAAUUUCGAGGCCCAUCUUGGCAACUUCUAUACUUUUUUUAUUAUUUUAUUUUUGAAAAAGAAUAACCAUAUGCCCUAAUUUUUUAUUUUUUAUUUUAAAAAAACUCUAUGUCCUUUCUACUGCAUUAUUAUUAUUAUUAUUAUUAUUAUUAUUAUUAUUAUUAUUAUGAAAUAAGGCAGAUUCUACUCUAUCAAAAAUUUUAAUAAAAAAUAUUUAGUUAAAAUAAAAUUUAGAAAAAUAAAAUAAAUUAGAUUCUAUAAGAAAUUUUAAUCAAUAAUAUUUAAUUAAAAUUAAAUUUAAAAAAUAAAAUAUUGGAAAUAACUUAUUAAAAAUUUAAAAAGUAUCUCAAAUAGCAAACGUGCUAUUUAUAAUAGAAAAAUCCUAAUACAAAAAAAAUUUAAAAGAUAAUAAAAAUGCAAAAUUGAUCCCUAAACGAUAGAUUUUUUAUCUCGAAUUUUAUAAUAAGUCUGCUACUCUAGUCACAUUUUUAAAAGUCAUACGUCUCAAAAUUUUCUUUUCAAAAAGCUAUCAUGGGCCGAUGUCCCAGCAGAAGUUAAGUCCGAUUCAAAUCUACCAUAAAAUCUAAGACUAAUUGCUUCGUAUCAUUCUCUUCCACUUGUAAAAAACUCGACCUCGAGUUGUAAUCAGUAGGAUAAUACUGAAAUAGAUCUGUCACGUUAAACGUUUUGAAAAUUUUGAUAUAAUCUGAGAGGUCAAGAAUAUAGGUAUUGUCAUUAAUCUUUUGCAUAAUUCGAAAUGGACUAAUCUUCUUUUUUUGGGCUAAACUUUUUCUGUCCUCCACCACGCUCCUUGUGCAAAUAUACCAUAACUUGAUCACCGACAUUGAAGGACUUGAAACGCCUAUAUUUAUCACCUGCAGUUUUAUACUUAUUAUUGCCUUCCAAAUGCAUUGUUGUACCUGUUUGAAAACGUCCAAAUGUUGAUUUGCCAAGUUAUUUGCUGCAAUACUGUUAUGAAAACCUGUAGAAAGGACAAAAAGAUUAACUGUAUGGGCAGAAAUUUUCCUGUACAUAAUUGCAUAGAGUGACACCUUUAUAGAGCUGUAGAUAGAACUGUUGUAAGCAAAUUUUGCUUGCGCAAUAAAAAGAUCCCAAGCAGUUUUCUUAUCGCUGUAGAUACAACGCAUAAGAUUGCCAAGAGUGCGGUUCACCACUUCAGUUUGGCCAUCAGUUUAGGGAUUGGCAGCACUAUUGUAUCGAAGUUUAAUUUCAAAACGCUUUCAUAAAGUCACCCAAAAGUGAGCUAUAAAUUUCACAUCUCUGUCAGAAAUAAUGGUCUUAGGAAUGUCAUAAUGUCAUAUAGACAAACAACCUCCUGGAAAAACAGUUUUGUAAUAUGAGAAGUAUCAUUAGUUUUUUUUGUAAGGAAUGAAAUGUGCCAUUUUGGAGAACCUGUCAACAACAACAAAAAUGGAAUCAGAUCCAUGUUGAAUAUAUGGAAGACCAAGAACAAGAUCCAUAGAAAAUUCCUCCUAAGGAUAUUCUGAAAUAGGCAAUAAAGUGUCUAAGCCCGUAUUCUGCGAAUGACCCUUCUGAGUUUGAGAAACUGGGCACUUCUAAAUCAUCUGACCUGUAUCCUUUUUUAAUUAUGGUCAAUAAAAAUGCUCCUUUGAACCAGCAAUAGUCUUAUCACAUCCCAAAUGACCAUUAAAACCUCCUCUAUGAACCUCUCGAAUUAAUUUUUCUCACAAAGAAGAGCGAGGAAUGCAUAACCUAUUCUCUUUAAAAAGAAAACCAUCAUGUAUCAAGAACCCAUCAACAGGUUGGUGAGCAUGGACCUUUGCCCAUAUAUCAGCAAAAUCAUCAUCUACGGUAUGCAAAUCUUUUAGAAAUUUAAAAUUCAUGACCUCCUGACUAACUAUAAUCAAUAGAGCAGUCCUCCUACUCAAAGCAUAUAUUACCUUAUUACUAUAGUCAGCCUUACAUUUUAUAAUAUAAUGAAAAACUCCAAAAUAAGUUGUCCAUCAAGUAUACAUCUUAUUUACAUGUUUUUGAGUGUUAAAAUGAAUCAAAGAUUGAUGAUCCAUGUGAAUAAUAAACUCCCACCCCAUCAGAUACUGUUCUCAAGUUUUAAAGUCUCGGAAUACUACAUAUAAUUCCUGCUCAUAAGUAAACCACUUCUUGGCAUCAUUCAAUUUCUUACUAAAGAAGGCAAUAGGCCUAUUAGACUGCGAUAACACACCGUCAAUCCCAACUCUACAAGCACUACAUUCAACCUCAAACAGUUUAUCAAAAUCGGGUAGAGCAAGAAUAGGGGUAGAAGUAAGCUUAUCUUUAAUCUCUUCAGAGCUCUGAUUGGCAGUGUCAGUCCAAGGAAAUUUCUGCACCCUCUCUUUCUUCAAACAAUAUGUGAUAAGGACAAUGAUGCUGCUGAAAUUUUUUAUAAACCGCCAAUAGAAAGUAGCAAAUCCAUGAAAGUUGUAAACUUCUAAAAUAGUUUUGGGAAUGGACCAGUUCCGUAUUAAUUCUACCUUAUUCUCAUUAACAUGUAUCACUUCUACACUAAUAACAAAUCCAAGAAACAGAUGUGCUCCGUCAUAUAGAUGCAUUUUUUUAAAUUAAUAACCAGCUUACUUUCUUGCAAGGCUAUUAUGACUUGACGGGGGUACUGUAAAUAUUCUUCUUUGUUGCGACUAACAAUCAAGAUGUCAUCAAAAUAAACAACCACAAAUUUGCGCAAGAAAUGACACAAAAUCUUGUUCAUAAGUCGCACGAAUGUGCUAUGUGCAUUCGUCAAACCAAACGGCAUAAUCAGCCACUCGUACAAGCCUUCUUUAGUUUUGAAGGUUGUCUUCCAUUCGUCUCCUUCUUUAAUCUGAACUUGUUGGUAAUCACUUUUAAUGUCUAUCUUAGAGAAAACUUUAGACCCUGAUAACUUAUCCAACAUGUCAUCCAGCCGAGGAAUAGAAAAUCGAUAUUGAACCGUAAUUUUACUGAUGGCUCUGCUAUCCACGCACAUUCUUCAAAUUUCAUCUUUUUUUAUAACUAAUAAGACAGGGACUCCACACGGGCUAAUACUCUCCUAAAUAUGCCCCUUCUUCAAUAGCUCUUCAACCUGUUCCUGGAGGAUUUUACUUUCCUUUAGACUCAUCUUGUAAUGAGGCAGAUUCAGUAAUUUUGAUCUAGGAAUGAGAUCAAUCCGAUAUUGAAUGUCCCGCAAAGCUGGAAGUUUUAAGGUUUCCUCCACUACCUUAGAAAACUCCUUCAACAGCUCUUUGACGGAUGGUGGUAAAGAUGGUAUAUCUUCCACUUCACCUUUUGCUCUCACCAAUAAAGCUAGUGUACCUUUAGAUUUCUCAACUGCGCCUGAUAGCCUUUACACCCCGUAGAAAUAACAACAGCAGUUUUCCCUUUCACUUUAGAAUAUUUCACAGAACCAAAAGGCAACAUGAUAAUCUUCUUCCAAUUCUAUUUAAACAUGUAUGAAUUCACUUUCCCCUUAUGCAAUGCAUCAACAUCAAACUGUCAAGAUCGACCUAACAAAAUUUCACAGCAAUCCACAUGCACAAUAUCGCAAUUAACAAAUUCAUUAUAAGAUUUACCGAUCAAAAUAGGCACGUUGCAAAAUAUGUUGACUUUAAUUGUCGAACCUUCUUUAAUUCACCCAAUUUUGUAUGGCGAAGAGUGAGGUUGUGUAGGCAACUGCAGCUUCUCCACCAAUUGCUUAGCUAUCAUAUUCUCACAACUGUAACUAUUGAUAAUUAGCCUGCAAAUCGCUUCUGCUACUUGACACUUCUCCUGAAAAAUCUUCCUCCUUUGCGUCUCAUCCUCCUGUUUCAUCGAGUAUAAAAUUUUCUUCACCACAUAAGUGACCUCUCUAUCUUCAGAACCAGCGAUAGAUCCAUUGUCGUCAUUCACUUCCUCCUCAGAUUCAACUACUUGCUCAACCACAUUAACCUGUCGGCGAUCAUUAUUAACUCCUCUGCGUUCUGGAUAAUUAUUGUAAUACCCGGCUAGACUCCGACAUCAGAAUUCCUACCGUCCGGUAGAAUUUCGGAUGUCGGAAACCUCUAGAAGGGCAAAAUCAUGUUUUCAUAAAAUGUUUUCAUGUAUUAUAUGGUUUUAAGUAAGAAAGAAACUGAGUUUUGAAUGAAAAAGACCAUGGAGGCAUUUCUAGGUUCGGCCGCCGAACAUGGGAUAGUUUAGGGGGGGCAAGUUAGGCUUCCGAAAGUGGCCCAGGUUCGGCCGCCGAACUUGCAUGAGUUUUGGAGGCACUUUAGCCUUCCGAAGGUGGUCUGGCCAGCCCCUAUAAAAGGGCUCUAUGACCGAAACAGGCGAGCUUUCUCCUCUAUUUUCGGCCAACGGUGAGUCCAUGCUCUCCCAUGGUUGAUUUUUGAUGAUUUUCCCUCAACCUUUCAAGUUUUAACGAGUUCUAACUUGGUUUUGAAGAGUUUUGGAGCUAAGAUCAAGUUUUGGAGCUUGGAGACCCAAGGAGCUAGAUUUCUCCCAUCUUCAAGUU